rnacentral:rRNA from 1 species
UCGAGAAUCAUUCGCAAUGGGCGAAAGCCUAACGGUGCGACGCCGCGUGGAGGAUGAAGGUCCUAGGAUUGUAAACUCCUGUCAUCAGGGAGUAAAGCUCAGGUGUUAAUAGCGCCUUGAGCCUGAUAGUACCUGAAGAGGAAGGGGCGGCUAACUCCGUGCCAGCAGCCGCGGUAACACGGAGGCCUCAAGCGUUGUUCGGAAUUACUGGGCGUAAAGGGUGCGUAGGCGGCGAGGUAAGUCAGAUGUGAAAGCCCGGGGCUCAACCCCGGAAUUGCAUCCGAUACUGCCUUGCUUGAGGAUUGGAGAGGAGACUGGAAUUCACGGUGUAGCAGUGAAAUGCGUGGAUAUCGUGAGGAAGGCCAAUGGCGAAGGCAGGUCUCUGGACAAUUCCUGACGCUCAUGCACGAAGGCCAGGGGAGCAAAAA